GCCGCGGUAGCUCAGACGGUAGAGCGCAGGACUGAAAUUCCUGGCGGCGGAGGUUCAACUCCUCCCCGUGGCACCA
rnacentral:tRNA from 1 species